GGGCUUAGUGGUAGGUCGUUUGGACUGUCUCGACAAACCUUUGAGUUCGAGUCGCGUCGAGUUCAUAUUUUCAAUAUUUUUUCCUUUUAUUUCUAUCCAGCUGUUUUUAUUAUUUUUACAUCUUCAUGUGAGAAAUCGCUUUGCAAGUAGUUGGAAAUAUUGGUAUGUUGAACCUGGCUCGAAGAGAUCCAAUCAUUUCUAACAUUUAAUUCCGUUCGAUAUUAUUUGAGGUGUUUUAUUUCAACUCGCGUACUAUUUUUGGCUGUUUGAGAGAAGCUGCCAAAUAGUUUAAAGAGUCAAAUUGAGUGUGGUAUACCGUAUACUUUGGCUCAAAUACAACAUACAGUAUAAGCAAAUACUAGAAGUUACUAUCGCAAGCAAAGUGCUGCCAUCAUGGCGUUCUAAGUUGCCGCGAACUGCCUAUAUUCUUCACCGCAAUUCACCGCCUAAUAAACUAUUUCACCGCACAAGAUAAGCGCGUGACGACAAUUAGCUAUAGUGUUUAAUUUGAAAUAAACUUUCGUUCUCCCUCGGUGGCUUAGUGGUAGGUCGUUUGGACUGUCUCGACAAACCUUUGAGUUCGAGUCGCGUCGAGUUCAUAUUUUCAAUAUUUUUUCCUUUUAUUUCUAUCCAGCUGUUUUUAUUAUUUUUACAUCUUCAUGUGAGAAAUCGCUUUGCAAGUAGUUGGAAAUAUUGGUAUGUUGAACCUGGCUCGAAGAGAUCCAAUCAUUUCUAAUAGUUAAUUCCGUUCGAUAUUAUUUGAGGUGUUUUAUUUCAACUCGCGUACUAUUUUUGGCUGUUUGAGAGAAGCUGCCAAAUAGUUUAAAGAGUCAAAUUGAGUGUGGUAUACCGUAUACUUUGGCUCAAAUACAACAUACAGUAUAAGCAAAAUACUAGAAGUUACUAUCGCAAGGAAAGUGCUGCCAUCAUGGCGUUCUAAGUUGCCGCGAACUGCCUAUAUUCUUCACCGCAAUUCACCGCCUAAUAAACUAUUUCACCGCACAAGAUAAGCGCGUGACGACAAUUAGCUAUAGUGUUUAAUUUGACAUAAACUUUCGUUCUCCCUCGGUGGCUUAGUGGUAGGUCAUUUGGACUGUCUCGACAAACCUUUGAGUUCGAGUCGCGUCGAGUUCAUAUUUUCAAUAUUUUUUCCUUUUAUUUCUAUCCAGCUGUUUUUAUUAUUUUUACAUCUUCAUGUGAGAAAUCGCUUUGCAAGUAGUUGGAAAUAUUGGUAUGUUGAACCUGGCUCGAAGAGAUCCAAUCAUUUCUUACAGUUAAUUCCGUUCGAUAUUAUUUGAGGUGUUUUAUUUCAACUCGCGUACUAUUUUUGGCUGUUUGAGAGAAGCUGCCAAAUAGUUUAAAGAGUCAAAUUGAGUGUGGUAUACCGUAUACUUUGGCUCAAAUACAACAUACAGUAUAAGCAAAAUACUAGAAGUUACUAUCGCAAGGAAUGUGCUGCCAUCAUGGCGUUCUAAGUUGCCGCGAACGGCCUAUAUUCUUCACCGCAAUUCACCGCCUAAUAAACUAUUUCACCGCAUAAGAUAAGCGCGUGACGACAAUUAGCUAUAGUGUUUAAUUUGACAUAAACUUUCGUUCUCCCUCGGUGGCUUAGUGGUAGGUCGUUUGGACUGUCUCGACAAACCUUUGAGUUCGAGUCGCGUCGAGUUCAUAUUUUCAAUAUUUUUUCCUUUUAUUUCUAUCCAGCUGUUUUUAUUCUUUUUACAUCUUCAUAUGAGAAAUCGCUUUGCAAGUAGUUGGAAAUAUUGGUAUGUUGAACCUGGCUCGAAGAGAUCCAAUCAUUUCUAACACUUAAUUCCGUUCGAUAUUAUUUGAGGUGUUUUAUUUCAACUCGCGUACUAUUUUUGGCUGUUUGAGAGAAGCUGCCAAAUAGUUUAAAGAGUCAAAUUGAGUGUGGUAUACCGUAUACUUUGGCUCAAAUACAACAUAAAGUAUAAGCAAAAUACUAGAAGUUACUAUCGCAAGCAAACUGCUGCCAUCAUGGCGUUCUAAGUUGCCGCGAACGGCCUAUAUUCUUCACCGCAAUUCACCGCCUAAUAAACUAUUUCACCGCAUAAGAUAAGCGCGUCAC